CGGGUGCCCAGCCCGGCCCCGGCGCGGUCCGCCGUCCUCGGACGGGCCACCUAACCCUCCUGGGCCUGCAGCAGCCCUUCUGUGAGUCAGAUGGUGAACGAGGUGCGGCCCCUGCCCCCCUCCCGCGAGGCGGAGGGAGGCUCUGGUCCGAAGCGGGUGGGCAUCGUGCCCGCCGUGCCUUGUUCUGCUGAAGCCGCGUCCUCGUGGCCUUCGGGGGCCGCAGAAGGCGACUCCAGGCUGCCGGAUGCCUGCUGGGUGCUGGGAGAGGACCCGUGAUGUAGCGGCUUGUGCUACUAGAAUAAGUGAAAAUAAUCUCCAAAAAUUAAGAUUAGAGCUAACAAGGCAAACCCCAAAGACACUCCACCUCCAGGAAGAGCUCCAAUCAGCAUGGAAGCAAAAGGGCACGAAGCGAAUCAGGAAGAUGCUUCAUUGAGCGGUGUCAGAACGUGCGCAAGUAAGUAACCUUUACUCUGAAAAAGAAUAUUCAAAAUGAUGCAGGAGUCAAACCCCAGUUGCUGUUUGAGAUAAAUAGCAUGGUUAUAUCACUGGGUUAAUGCAUAGACAUAUGUGCUGACUAGUUUGUCUAAUUAUGAUUCUGUUUUCUAAAGAAAAAAAAUGACAUUUUGCAUUUCAAACC
rnacentral:lncRNA from 1 species